rnacentral:rRNA from 1 species
AUGCGCGACAUGCUGAUCUAUGGUCUCCAUCUCCGCGCCUCCGCCUCCACUGAGCUUCUCGCCUACAUGGAUGCGAACUGGGCUGGCUGUCCUGACACUUGCCGAUCCACGUCGGGCUACUGUGUCUUCUUCGGCGACUCGCUUGUCUCAUGGUCCUCUAGGCGACAUCCCACCGUCUCCCGCUCGAGUGCCGAGGCCGAGUACUGCGCUGUCGCCAACGCAGUCGCUGAGACCUUUUGGCCGCGUCACCUUCUUGGUGAACUUCGGGUCUCCACCCCGAAGGCUACGAUGAUUUUCUGUGAUAAUGUUUUGGCCACCUAUCUCGCGGCCAAUCCGGUGCAACAUAGACACACCAAACAUAUUGAACUCGAUGUUCACUUCGCCCGUGAGAAGGUUCAGCCGAGUCAGCUUCGUGUUCUUCACGUACCGACUACCCAACAGUUCCCGACAUUAUGA